rnacentral:rRNA from 1 species
UACAGAGGUCUCAAGCGUUGUUCGGAAUUAUUGGGCGUAAAGAGCUCGUAGGCGGUUUGUCGCGUCUGCUGUGAAAACUCGGGGCUUAACUCCGGGCCUGCAGUGGGUACGGGCAGACUAGAGUGCGGUAGGGGAGACUGGAAUUCCUGGUGUAGCGGUGAAAUGCGCAGAUAUCAGGAGGAACACCCAUAGCGAAGGCAGCUCGCUGGGACGGUACUGACGCUGAGGCGCGAAAGCGUGGGGAGCGAACAGG